rnacentral:hammerhead_ribozyme from 1 species
AUUCAGCUGACGAGUGAAAAUUAGGACGAAAUGCGCAUCCUGGAU